rnacentral:tRNA from 1 species
GCUCAGCUGGGAGAGCGCCUGCAUGGCAUGCAGGAGGUCAGCGGUUCGAUCCCGCUUGGCUCCA